GGAUUGUGGCUCAGAGGUAGAGCGCUUGCCUAGCAUGCGUGAGGCACUGGGUUCGAACCUCAGCACCA
rnacentral:tRNA from 1 species